rnacentral:rRNA from 1 species
GAUGAACGCUGGCGGCGUGCCUAAUACAUGCAAGUCGAACGCUGAAGGAGGAGCUUGCUCUUUCCGGAUGAGGUGCGAACGGGUGAGUAACGCGUAGGUAACCUGCCUGGUAGCGGGGGAUAACUAUGGGAAACGAUAGCUAAUACGGCAUAACAGUAGAUAUUGCAUGAUAGUUGCUGGAAAGGGGCAAUUGCUCCACUACCAGAUGGACCUGCGUUGUAUUAGCUAGUUGGUGAGGUAACGGCGCACCAAGGCGACGUUACAUAGGCGACCUGCGAGGGUGAUCGGCCACCCUGGGACUGAGACACGGCCCAGACGCCUACGGGAGGCAGCAGUAGGGAAUCUUCGGCAAUGGACGGAAGUCUGACCGAGCAACGCCGCGUGAGUGAAGAAGGUUUUCGGAUCGUAAAGCUCUGUUGUAAGAGAAGAACGAGUGUGAGAGUGGAACGUUCACACUGUGACGGUAUCUUACCAGAAAGGGACGGCUAACUACGUG